GCCGUCAAAGCACGUCAAGGAGCGUGUUCCUCUCUUUCCAUCUCCACGGAAGGCGCGUCUGGGAGGGACGCCUUUCAGGGACACCUGUCCAUGCUCAGGGCCUGGACGCUCCUGGCGGAAGUGAUACCUGCUCUUCCACCAACAACGCCCUAUUUGACUGAAUUUUAGAAAAAAUGCCCUCAAAACGCUAAACAUGCAGCACAAAGAGAAGGGACCCCCGCCAGUAGGAAGGAAAGAUGAACCGACGUUUCAGGCUCAAACUGGACUUGAUCCCGUGAGCGAUGCUUCUGGUGGUGCUGGAAGCACCUAGAAGCUGCCCUGCAUACCGUCUGCAAUCCUGGAUUCGUGCUGGAGAGAAAUUCCACCUGCCAACUGAGAAUCAUCUCGCAGGGGGGAGUAAUAAUUUCUUAAAAUAACAGCAACAACAAUAAAGAGUGAGCCUGUGACUCUCAGUUACCGAGGGGCCCUUGGAUCCUUCCCGGGUGGGUCUCCAGCCCCGCCAAGACUUUCCCGAGCCUCCGGCCAGGGGCAUGCGCUCACCGACUGCAGGAUGAACUUGCGUCCUUGGAAUCCUGCUCCACGCUUCUAGCCCUCCAGAGCCAAAGAAACCCCAGACAACAGAUGCCCAUACACAGUGCAUAGCAGUAACUCCACAGCUCUGUUUCUGUGCCAUAGUUUAUGCACCACUGCUCUAGAGAACGGCAUCUACAGUGGCAACACUGACCACCCGUCCUAUUGCUGCUUCUGGUCCGUUGGUAGACUACCUAUGGAUGCUUAUCCUGGGCUUCAUCACUGCAUCUGUCCUGGCCUUCUCCGUGGGAGCCAGCGAUGUAGCAGAUUCUUUUGGUUCAGCCGUGGGUUCAGGUGUCCUGAAGCAAGCCUGCAUCCUAGCAGCGUGGGAUGGGCAAAUGCAGUGGGCAAUGAACUUUGGGCAUAACCUGCAGCUCUGUUAGCCGCUGGACGGCUUCUAGAAUCCUCAGAAUGUGGGGUCGCUGGGCGGUUUUCCCAGCUUUUGGACGUGAGCAGUCAAGAGUUUUUUGGGCAGGAACUACACACUUAGUCCAAUUAUUAAACACAAAUAAACAACUUUU
rnacentral:lncRNA from 1 species